CUGAUGGUGACGCUCAAACCUUAGCGCACAGGGCUGCCAUAAUGAAAUACCACAGACUGCGUGGCUUAAACAGCAGAAAUUAAUUUUCUCACAGUUCUGGAGGCUCAAUGUCCAAGAUUACGCUAUAGCUCUCUACCCUGUGAGGACACAGCAAGAAGACUGCCAUUUAUGAACCAAGAAAGGGCCUCAUCAGACUCUGGAUCUGCAGGCACCUUGAUCUUGGACUUCCCAGCCUCCAGAC